UACGUAGGGUGCGAGCGUUGUCCGGAAUUAUUGGGCGUAAAGCGUGUGCAGGUGGUCUUGUAAGUUGGAUGUGAAAGCCCCGGGCUUAACUCGGGAAGUGCAUUCAAAACUGCAAGACUUGAGUAUGGAAGAGGGUCGUGGAAUUCCAGGUGUAGUGGUGAAAUACGUAGAUAUCUGGAGGAACACCGGUGGCGAAGGCGGCGAUCUGGGUCGAUACUGACGCUGAGGUGCGAAAGCGUGGGGAGCAAACAGG
rnacentral:rRNA from 1 species